UAGUGCAGUAAGAAACAUGGCAGUUUGAUGAAACAUGGUGGAGACAGCGGCUGAAAUGGAAGCAUAUGUUCUAGAAGACAUUCUGGAGUGAAGAAUUGUCAAUCGAGGGGUGCCUAUCAUUUGGAGGAUGCCAUGUGAAUUCUGAUUUCAGAGAAACCUUAGAGGACCAACCAUCAAUGAUAAUUCGUGCAAGAUGAAGAAUGAAACUCGUGGAGGACUUGACCAGGGAAGAGUGGGGAAGAGUGAUACAAAAAAGAAAAUGGAAAGGAAUGCGCAGAAGAAAACAAAGUGCUUCAGAAGUAAACAUAGAGCAACUGGGCAUACCUAAUGAACCGAAUUGCAUGUAAUGAAAAUGAGCAGUUUCACAUGCAGUUCUUUUUUUAUAAUAUUUGUCAAAUUCAUACCACCCACAUCUUAUUGGGCACAUUUACCCAAUAUAUCAGUUUUUGAAGUUUGAAGCAAAAGUUCUUUGUCUAUCUUCCCCCCCCCCCCCCCGUUUCACUGAAGUAUGUACCAGUGAAUCUUCCCCAGUGCCUUACACAAUAUUCUUCAUACAAAACAUGCCAGUGUUUCUAUUAACAUUUGUAAAAGCUUUCACUAAUUCCCACUGGAGUUUCUUGUCCUACCCGAGUCCCUUAGGAAAAAUAAAGUUUUUCCGCAUAAACUCCUAGAAUUUCAAAGAUAGCUUCCCUUCUCAAAAUUCAAAAAAAGCUUCAACUUCACUUUAGAGAAAAAAAGAGAUCAAAUCUUUGAUUAUAAUCAUUGUAGAGGGAGUACCCAGUAUGCAAGCUCAGUUCUCUGGGUUUUAGAUUUACGGCUUACAAUGCCUUAGGGUAGUUAAGUGACUUUUCUAUACACUUAGAAUGUGUGUGGGUGGGACAUCGAUUUUUCUAACUCUUCAGCCUAAGUGGGUAUGUUUAAGAAGGGAACCUGAAGUAUACUGAUACACAUACAAAAGUCAGUAGCCAAAUAAAAUGAUUAUUUGUGCAGUGAUAGGCGAGAAAAUAAAGUUAUAUUCAGUGUAAGAUUAGCUAGUGGUUCUCUGAACUGGCUCACAAGCAUGUCUUCAUUCUUCUCCUGCAUACACCUAGAGUAUAUUCACCCCACCCUUCUGUUCUAUUUUAGAAUGUAAGCUCCUUGAGGGCAGAGAUUGUCUAUUUGUCUUCUCAGUGAACCUGCCACCAUUGCUUAUUUAGUAAAUUUCAUCAGAAUAAACUUUCAUAAUAAA